rnacentral:rRNA from 1 species
GUGAGGAAUAUUGGUCAAUGGGCGGGAGCCUGAACCAGCCAAGUCGCGUGAAGGAAGAAGGAUCUAUGGUUCGUAAACUUCUUUUGCAGGGGAAUAAAGUGCGGGACGUGUCCUGUUUUGUAUGUACCCUGAGAAUAAGGAUCGGCUAACUCCGUGCCAGCAGCCGCGGUAAUACGGAGGAUCCGAUCGUUAUCCGGAUUUAUUGGGUUUAAAGGGUGCGUAGGCGGAAGAAUAAGUCAGUGGUGAAAGUUUGCAGCUCAACUGUAAAAUUGCCGUUGAAACUGUUUUUCUUGAGUGUAAAUGAGGUAGGAGGAAUGUGUUGUGUAGCGGUGAAAUGCUUAGAUAUGACAAAGAACACCGAUUGCGAAGGCAGCUUACUAAGAUACAACUGACGCUGAGGCACGAAAGCGUGGGGAUCGAACAGGAUUAGAAACCCGGGUAGUCC